GCUGGCGGCAGGCCUAACACAUGCAAGUCGAGCGGUAGCACAGGAGAGCUUGCUCUCCGGGUGACGAGCGGCGGACGGGUGAGUAAUGUCUGGGAAACUGCCUGAUGGAGGGGGAUAACUACUGGAAACGGUAGCUAAUACCGCAUAACGUCGCAAGACCAAAGUGGGGGACCUUCGGGCCUCAUGCCAUCAGAUGUGCCCAGAUGGGAUUAGCUAGUAGGUGGGGUAAUGGCUCACCUAGGCGACGAUCCCUAGCUGGUCUGAGAGGAUGACCAGCCACACUGGAACUGAGACACGGUCCAGACUCCUACGGGAGGCAGCAGUGGGGAAUAUUGCACAAUGGGCGCAAGCCUGAUGCAGCCAUGCCGCGUGUAUGAAGAAGGCCUUCGGGUUGUAAAGUACUUUCAGCGAGGAGGAAGGCAUUAAGGUUAAUAACCUUAGUGAUUGACGUUACUCGCAGAAGAAGCACCGGCUAACUCCGUGCCAGCAGCCGCGGUAAUACGGAGGGUGCAAGCGUUAAUCGGAAUUACUGGGCGUAAAGCGCACGCAGGCGGUUUGUUAAGUCAGAUGUGAAAUCCCCGGGCUCAACCUGGGAACUGCAUUUGAAACUGGCAAGCUUGAGUCUUGUAGAGGGGGGUAGAAUUCCAGGUGUAGCGGUGAAAUGCGUAGAGAUCUGGAGGAAUACCGGUGGCGAAGGCGGCCCCCUGGACAAAGACUGAC
rnacentral:rRNA from 1 species